GACGAACCGAGCGAACGUUGUUCGGAAUCACUGGGCUUAAAGGGCGCGUAGGCGGGCAUUCAAGUCUGUGGUGAAAUCCGGCAGCUUAACUGUCGAAUUGCCAUGGAUACUGGGUGUCUCGAGGGAGGCAGGGGUGCGCGGAACUAAUGGUGGAGCGGUGAAAUGCGUUGAUAUCAUUAGGAACUCCGGUGGCGAAGGCGGCGCACUGGUCCUUUUCUGACGCUGAGGCGCGAAAGCCAGGGAGCAAACGGG
rnacentral:rRNA from 1 species